GCAAAACAUAGUAAAAGAAAUUUUAGUUUUUAAAAUGAUCUAGAAUGUUGUUAAAUUAUUAAUAUCAUUCAUUGUGUAAAAGUAAAAUAAAAUUAAAACUUGUAGCAGAUAGAAUAAUACACUGAUGAAAGAUUAUGGAUUGGUGUGAAUAAGCAUCAGAGGAUAUUGUAAACAAACUAAUUUUUGUGUCGUUUUUUUCUCUCUAUAAAAUGAAUCAAACAAAUCAAAACAAACCAACAAAAUCAGAAAAUUACAAAAAUGUGUCUCUAUUAAAUUGGCUGAAAAGAAAGAAAAGAAAAUAAGUUUACAAAAGUAAACUAUCUUAGUAUCAAAUACCAAAAUGUUAAAAUUUGUUGUACAUGUAACUGACCAAAAUAAAAACAAAAACACAUUGCAUGACUUUAAAGCUAUGUGCAAAAUAUUAAAAAGCUAGAAAAUCCCAGAGGAAAUUGUUAUGAAUGAACAUUGGCAGACACGUGAACAGAUGUUAACCUGUAUGUUGGCAAAUUAGAUAAUGUUAUUGAACUCUACUGUUCUUGUACUGACAAUAUACUUUAGUGUUGAUGUUAGGGUAAGGCUUAUAGUUAGCGAUCAAGCUUAGCUGUUAGGGAUAGCAGUCAGGCUUAGCUGUUAGGGAUAGCAGUCAGGCUUAGCUGUUAGGGAUAGCUGUUAGGCUUAGCUGUUAGGGAUAGCUGUUAGGUUUAGCUGUUAUGGAUAGUGGUCAGGCUUAGCUGUUAGAGAUAACAGUCAGGCUUAGCUGUUAAGGAUAGUGGUCAGGCUUAGCUGUUAGGGAUAACAGUCAGGCUUAGCUGUUAGGGAUAGCGGUCAGGUUUAGCUGUUAGAGAUAACAGUCAGGCUUAGCUGUUAGGGAUAGCGGUCAGGCUAAGCUGUUAGGGAUAGCGGUCAGGCUUAGCUGUUAGCAAUAGCAGUCAGGCUUAGCUGUUAGAGAUAGUGGUCAGGCUUAGCUGUUUGGGAUAGUAGACAGAAUUAUCGGUUUGGGUUAGGGUUAACUCUGUUUAUAAUUUAAAUUUGCUUGUACUUAUUAUCAUACGAAAUAAACAGGAUGAAAUCUGUUUUCCAGGUUUUCUUGAUACAACUCAAAAACUAUCAUCCCGGGACUUCUAACUAUUACAAUUGGAAAACAAACACUGUCUAUUUUCAAAUUAAAAUAUGGUCAUUCAAAUAGGUAAAGUUUUUGACACAUGACAAACUUCAGAUUAAGUUCGAUGAGGAAGACUUGGAUUUACAAGAAUUGUAAAAUCAGCAUAACAAAGAUCACCAAAAAAACUUCAAAUAUAAAAAAAAAAUCUUUAUGUACCGUUAAUGGCUCAACAUAAAAUAUCAUAACAAUAUAACAAUAACAUAAUAUCAAGCAGAUUUCAACAUAAAAAGUUAGUACACUCAAUAAGUUUCAGUCAAAGAUUUUUAAGUAAGAAACAACACACAACAAAAAGUUAAUAAAAAACCGGAGAUUCUUGUAUUGCACAUCAAACAUAUUUACAGAAAUUACUGCAAAACUGUGUUUUAAUCAGAAUCUUUGUAAAAUGCAACGAACACAUAAUGUAUGUAUAAAACCUUUGUUUAUUAUACCACUCUAUUGUAAUUUGUAAUUUACACUACU
rnacentral:lncRNA from 1 species